rnacentral:rRNA from 1 species
GCAGGUUGAAGCGCGGGUAAGACCGCGUGGAGGACCGAACCCACCUGGGUUGAAAACCGGGGGGAUGACCUGGGGCUAGGGGUGAAAGGCCAAUCAAAUUCCGUGAUAGCUGGUUCUCUCCGAAAUGCAUUUAGGUGCAGCGUCGGUCGAUUGCGUCGCGGGGGUAGAGCUACCGGAUGCUUGCGGGCCCUUGUUGGGUACCAACAGCAGCCGAACUCCGAAUACCGUUGACGUGUAUUCCGGCAGUGAGUCGGCGGGGGAUAAGCUCCGUCGUCGAGAGGGAGACAGCCCAGACCGUCGUCUAAGGUCCCGAAGCGUGUGCUAAGUGGGAAAGGAUGUGGAGUCGCAUAGACAGCCAGGAGGUUGGCUCAGAAGCAGCCAUCCUUGAAAGAGUGCGUAACAGCUCACUGGUCUAGUGGUUCCGCGCCGACAAUGUAGCGGGGCUCAAGCACACCACCGAAGACGCGGCAGCAAUCUUCAUGGUUGCUGGGUAGGAGAGCGUCCUGCGAGGGGCGAAGCGGCCGGGUAACCGUGCCGUGGACUUCGUGGGAGUGAGAAUGCAGACAUGAGUAGCGAGAGACGGGUGAGGAUCCCGUCCGCUGGAUGACCAAGGGUUCCGGGGCCACGUUCGUCGUCCCCGGGUGAGUCGGGUCCUAAGGCGAGGCCGACAGGCGUAGUCGAAUGGAUGAACGGGUGGAUAUUCCCGUACCGACCAUGGACCGGCAAAACCGAGACGGUGAGUACUAACCUCCGCCUCGUGGUGGUUCCUUCCUUCGGGUUGGUUCCGUCGCGUGGUGUUGGGAGCGUAGCCGCAGUAGGUCAGCGCAGGGGUGACACGGAAUGGGAGCCGGCCGCGGAGGUGGUUUUCCGUGGUCAAGCACGCAGCCAGUCAUGUAGGCAAAUCCGCAUGGCAUGCAUGGCGAGGUGUGAUGAUGGGAGCCGUUAUGGUUCGAUAUCCGGUUGUCCAGGCCGUCGAGAAAAGCCUCGGCGUGAGGGCCAUGGCCGCCCGUACCCCAAACCGACACUGGUGGUCAGGUAGAGAAUACCAAGGCGAUCGAGCGAAUCCUGGUCAAGGAACUCGGCAAAUCACUCCCGUGCCUUCGGUAUAAGGGAGACCCACUGGGGUGAAGGACCUUGCGUCCGGAGCUUUGGUGGGUGGCACAGACCAGGGGGUAGCGACUGUUUACCAAAAACACAGGUGCAUGCGAAGGCGAAAGCCGCUGUAUAUGCACUGACGCCUGCCCGGUGCCGGAAGGUUAAGAGGAUCCGUCAAUCCCUUCGGGGACGAAGCGGUGAAUUCAAGCCCCGGUAAACGGCGGUGGUAACUAUAACCAUCCUAAGGUAGCGAAAUUCCUUGUCGGGUAAGUUCCGACCUGCACGAAUGGCGUAACGACUUCCCCACUGUCUCGACCAGGAGCUCGGCGAAAUUGCAGUACGAGUAAAGAUGCUCGUUAAGCGCAGAAGGACGAAAAGACCCCGGGACCUUUACUAUACCUUGGUAUUGGCGUUAGGCGCGGAUUGUGUAGCAUAGGCGGGAGGCUUUGAAACGGUGGCGCCAGCCAUCGCGGAGCCGCAAGGUGAAAUACCGCUCUGUUCUCGUUUGACGUCUAACCUCGACAAGUCAUCCUUGUCAGGGACAGUGCCUGGCGGGUAGUUCAACUGGGGCGGUUGCCUCCCAAAGAGUAACGGAGGCGCUCAAAGGUCCGCUCAGCCCGGUUGGCAAUCGGGUGUCGAGUGUAAUCGCACAAGCGGGCUUGACUGCGAGGACGACGGUCCGAGCAGGGACGAAAGUCGGAGAUAGUGAUCCGGUGCCGGCGCACGGGCGCGGCAUCGCUCAACGGAUAAAAGGUACCCCGGGGAUAACAGGCUGAUCAUUCCCAAGAGUCCAUAUCGACGGGAUGGUUUGGCACCUCGAUGUCGGCUCGUCGCAUCCUGGGGCUGGAGCAGGUCCCAAGGGUUCGGCUGUUCGCCGAUUAAAGCGGCACGCGAGCUGGGUUCAGAACGUCGUGAGACAGUUUGGUCUCUAUCCUCUGCGCUCGUUGGAAUCCUGAGGAGGCCUGCCCAUAGUACGAGAGGACCUGGGUGGACGAACCUCUGGUAUGCCGGUUGUC